rnacentral:rRNA from 1 species
AUUGAACGCUGGCGGCAGGCCUAACACAUGCAAGUCGAGCGGAUGAAGGGAGCUUGCUCCUGGAUUUAGCGGCGGACGGGUGAGUAAUGCCUAGGAAUCUGCCUGGUAGUGGGGGAUAACGUCCGGAAACGGGCGCUAAUACCGCAUACGUCCUGAGGGAGAAAGUGGGGGACCUUCGGACCUCACGCUAUCAGAUGAGCCUAGGUCGGAUUAGCUAGUUGGUGGGGUAAAGGCCUACCAAGGCGACGAUCCGUAACUGGUCUGAGAGGAUGAUCAGUCACACUGGAACUGAGACACGGUCCAGACUCCUACGGGAGGCAGCAGUGGGGAAUAUUGGACAAUGGGCGAAAGCCUGAUCCAGCCAUGCCGCGUGUGUGAAGAAGGUCUUCGGAUUGUAAAGCACUUUAAGUUGGGAGGAAGGGCAGUAAGUUAAUACCUUGCUGUUUUGACGUUACCAACAGAAUAAGCACCGGCUAACUUCGU